CUGCGAGGGAGACACCUAAACUCCCAUAACACGUCAAAAGAUAUUUUGAUCAGCUGAAUGAUCGACAAACAGGUUUCUGCGCACAUUGCCGCCAGGACUGAAUUUACUGAGCCAGAAGAGUCUCAAGUCCCUCUCAUUCCAGUAUGACUCAUGGACAUACAAGUGACACCUUGCGGAUUGUGUGGACUGGGUUCAAGCAAACAGAAGCUCUGAACACCUGAGGCGGUGCAGGUGACCUAUCGAGGGCACGGCAGAG